rnacentral:rRNA from 1 species
GUGCAGCAGGCGAGAAUUUUUCUCAAUGGGGAAACCCUGAAGGAGCGACGCCGCGUGGAGGAUGAAGGCUUUCGGGUUGUAAACUCCUGUCAUUUGAGAACAAGUUGAACGCAGUAACUACGCGUUCAUUGAUAGUAUCAGAAGAGGAAGGGACGGCUAACUCUGUGCCAGCAGCCGCGGUAAUACAGAGGUCCCAAGCGUUGUUCGGAUUCAUUGGGCGUAAAAGGGUGCGUAGGUGGCGCCGUAAGUGGGGUGUGAAAUUUCGGAGCUUAACUCCGAAACUGCAUUCCAUACUGCGGUGCUUGAGGACUGGAGAGGAGACUGGAAUUUACGGUGUAGCAGUGAAAUGCGUAGAGAUCGUAAGGAAGACCAGUGGCGAAGGCGGGUCUCUGGACAGUUCCUGACACUGAGGCACGAAGGCCAGGGGAGCAAACGGGAUUAGAUACCCCCGUAGU